rnacentral:misc_RNA from 1 species
UUUCCGUAGGUGAACCUGCGGAAGGAUCAUUAUUGUAUAACCGAGGUGCGAGGGCUGUCGCUGACCCGACAGGUCGUGCACGCCCGAGGGCCCUCACACUCGUCCAUCUCACCCCUAUGUGCACCACCGCGUGGGUCCCCCUUUGGCUUGUUCGGAGGGGGGCUUACGUUGUCACACAAACUUUGUAUGCAGUGUAGAAUGUAUUUUUUGUUUUUGCGAUCACGCAAUCAAUACAACUUUCAACAACGGAUCUCUUGGCUCUC